CAGCAGCCACGGUAAUACGAAGGGUGCAAGCGUUACUCGGAAUUACUGGGCGUAAAGCGUGCGUAGGUGGUGGUUUAAGUCCGUUGUGAAAGCCCUGGGCUCAACCUGGGAAUUGCGGUGGAUACUGGGUCACUAGAGUGUGGUAGAGGAUAGUGGAAUUUCCGGUGUAGCAGUGAAAUGCGUAGAGAUCGGAAGGAACAUCUGUGGCGAAGGCGACUAUCUGGGCCAACACUGACACUGAGGCACGAAAGCGUGGGGAGCAAACAGGAUUAGAUACCCGCGUAGUCCCUGUCUCUUAUAC
rnacentral:rRNA from 1 species